rnacentral:rRNA from 1 species
GACAGAGGGUGCAAACGUUGCUCGGAAUUACUGGGCGUAAAGCGCAUGUAGGCGGUUUCGCAAGUCGGGUGUGAAAGCCCAGGGCUCAACCCUGGAAGUGCACUCGAUACUACGGAGCUGGAGUCUUGAAGAGGAGAGCGGAAUUCCCGGUGUAGAGGUGAAAUUCGUAGAUAUCGGGAGGAACACCAGUGGCGAAGGCGGCUCACUGGACACGUAUUGACGCUGAGGUGCGAAAGCGUGGGGAGCAAACAGG